rnacentral:rRNA from 1 species
AGUGAACGCUGGCGGUAGGCCUAACACAUGCAAGUCGAACGGCAGCACAGUAAGAGCUUGCUCUUACGGGUGGCGAGUGGCGGACGAGUUAGGCAUACAUCGGAAUCUACUUUUUCGUGGGGGAUAACGUAGGGAAACUUACGCUAAUACCGCAUACUACCUACGGGUGAAAGCAGGGGAUCUUCGGACCUUGCGCGAUUGAAUGAGCCGAUGUCGGAUUAGCUAGUUGGCGGGGUAAAGGCCCACCAAGGCGACGAUCCGUAGCUGGUCUGAGAGGAUGAUCAGCCACACUGGAACUGAGACACGGUCCAGACUCCUACGGGAGGCAGCAGUGGGGAAUAUUGGACAAUGGGCGCAAGCCUGAUCCAGCCAUACCGCGUGGGUGAAGAAGGCCUUCGGGUUGUAAAGCCAUUUUGUUGGGAAAGAAAAGCAGCAGGUUAAUACCCCGCUGUUCUGACGGUACCCAAAGAAUAAGCACCGGCUAACUUCGUG